rnacentral:rRNA from 1 species
AUUGAACGCUGGCGGCAGGCCUAACACAUGCAAGUCGAACGGUAGCACAGAGGAGCUUGCUCCUUGGGUGACGAGUGGCGGACGGGUGAGUAAUGUCUGGGAAACUGCCCGAUGGAGGGGGAUAACUACUGGAAACGGUAGCUAAUACCGCAUAACGUCGCAAGACCAAAGAGGGGGACCUUCGGGCCUUCUGCCAUCGGAUGGGCCCAGAUGGGAUUAGCUAGUAGGUGGGGUAACGGCUCACCUAGGCGACGAUCCCUAGCUGGUCUGAGAGGAUGACCAGCCACACUGGAACUGAGACACGGUCCAGACUCCUACGGGAGGCAGCAGUGGGGAAUAUUGCACAAUGGGCGCAAGCCUGAUGCAGCCAUGCCGCGUGUAUGAAGAAGGCCUUCGGGUUGUAAAGUACUUUCAGCGAGGAGGAAGGCGCUGUGGUUAAUAACCGCAACGAUUGACGUUACUCGCAGAAGAAGCACCGGCUAACUCCGUGCCAGCCGCCGCGGUAAAAC